ACAUCUCGUGACAAUACUCAAAAUUAAAAAAAAAAAACUGAAAUGUGCAAAGUGAAACUGUAAAAGUUAAAACUCUAAAAAGAAUUCACAAAACCCACAGCUCGUACGAUUGGUCGCAGUUCCUGAUGCAAACUAAAUGCAGCUUCAGUACAACAUUCCCAACAUUCUAAACGAGGAGAACGUCAAGCAGCAACAACCCAGAGGAGCAGCUCUGCAGCGUCCAAUCAAUCAUUCGUGGAACUUCUGGGCAGGACCUACGUGUGUGACCCUUUGCUAUGAGAUGGAGUUCGGCCGAUGGCAGUUGGAGAGAAUCCGUUGCCAGGUUUUGGAGAGUUUAGCUUAGGAUAAUGGGUUUGGGCUCCACCCGAGAAGAUUUCACUUUUGUCGGCUAAAGCGGCACUUAAACAUGUGCACAUCGAUGAGCCCGCUCGCUGGCCAGAUUAAGAAUCCAACUCUGUAGUUCCCUUCCCGAGUUCCUGACAAUCCCACCGCCCAAAUUAUAUUCUAACCUAAAUUCUUCAAAAUCCUGGCGGCGUAUCUUUUUCAAGUGCCACGACCGAACUCCAUACCAUGGUAGGGGCUCAUCCACGUCGGACCAGGGUUCCUUCACCUCCUAACGCUGGCGAUUGGCUGCGCUUGUGGUUGUUGCUGCAAAUUCCAUUUGUGAUCCUUCAACUGGCUGCAAUUGCAGGCUACGACUGCAGGCUCUUGUUGCUU